rnacentral:rRNA from 1 species
AUUGAACGCUUGCGGCAGGCUUAACACAUGCAAGUCGAGCGAGCGGCGGACGGGUGAGUAAUGUCUGUGAAAAUGCCUGAUGGAGGGGGAUAACUACUUGAAACGGUAGCUAAUACCGCAUACCAUCAACUGUCACCAGAUGGGAUUAGCUAUUAGGUGGGGUAAUGGCUCACCUAGGCGCCGAUCCCUAGCUGGUCUGAGAGGAUGACCAGCCACACUGGAACUGAGACACGGUCCAGACUCCGACGGGAGGCAGCAGUGGGGAAUAUUGCAAAAUGGGCGAAAGCCUGAUGCAGCCAUGCCGCGUGUGUGAAGAAGGCCUUCGGGUUGUAAAGCACUUGCAGCGAGGAGGCGUUACUCGCAGAAGAAGCACCGGCUAACUCCGUGCCAGCCGCCGCGGUAAUUC